CCUACGGGCGGCAGCAGUGAGGAAUAUUGGUCAAUGGACGAGAGUCUGAACCAGCCAAGUAGCGUGAAGGAUGACUGCCCUAUGGGUUGUAAACUUCUUUUAUAUGGGAAUAAAACGUUCCACGUGUGGGAUUUUGUAUGUACCAUAUGAAUAAGGAUCGGCUAACUCCGUGCCAGCAGCCGCGGUAAUACGGAGGAUCCGAGCGUUAUCCGGAUUUAUUGGGUUUAAAGGGAGCGUAGGUGGAUUGUUAAGUCAGUUGUGAAAGUUUGCGGGUUAACCGUAAAAUUGCAGUUGAAACUGGCAGUCUAGAGUACAGUAGAGGUGGGCGGAAGUCGAGGUGUAGCGGUGAAAUGCUUAGAUAUCACGAAGAACUCCGAUUGCGAAGGCAGUUCACUGGACUGCAACUGACACUGAGGCUCGAAAGUGUGGGUAUCAAACAGGAUUAGAUACCCCUGUAGUC
rnacentral:rRNA from 1 species